rnacentral:lncRNA from 10 species
CUGGUUCUUCCUGUUUCAUCCUAUUUGUAUUUUUAUUAUCCCAAUUUUGCAGGUAAGGAGACCAAAGCAGAAAGAUCAGUAACCCUCCUGGAGUCUCACAAUUAAUAUGAAUCAGAGCAGGAUCUUCAACUCCUCAACUUGUGUUUUUAACUGGCACAUCUUCCUGCCUGGGUGCAGCAGGGUACCAACAUGAUGCCAUUGA